CCUACGGGAGGCAGCAGUGAGGAAUAUUGGUCAAUGGCCGGAAGUCUGAACCAGCCAAGCCGCGUGAAGGACGAAGGUGCCAAGCAUUGUAAACUUCUUUUGUCAAGGGACAAAAUCAGGCUCGAGAGCCUGACCGAGGGUACUUGAAGAAAAAGCAUCGGCUAACUCCGUGCCAGCAGCCGCGGUAAUACGGAGGAUGCGAGCGUUAUCCGGAUUUAUUGGGUUUAAAGGGUGCGUAGGCGGGCUGUUAAGUCAGCGGUAAAAGCCCGGGGCUCAACCCCGGCGAGCCGUUGAAACUGGCUGUCUUGAGAUGGCGAGAGGUAGGCGGAAUGCGCAGUGUAGCGGUGAAAUGCUUAGAUAUUGCGCAGAACUCCGAUUGCGAAGGCAGCAUACCGGCGGCGAUCUGACGCUGAGGCACGAAAGCGUGGGUAUCGAACAGGAUUAGAUACCCUUGUAGUC
rnacentral:rRNA from 1 species